CGGCGGACGGGUGAGUAACACGUGGACAAUCUGCCCCCCGGCCCGGGAUAGCCCAGGGAAACCUGGAUUAAUACCGGAUGAGACGGGACCCGCGAUGGCGGGAUCCGGGAAAGGCGCUGCGGCGCCGCCGGGGGGAUGAGUCUGCGUCCCAUUAGCUAGACGGCGGGGUAACGGCCCACCGUGGCGACGAUGGGUAGCCGGCCUGAGAGGGUGGACGGCCACAUUGGAACUGAGACACGGUCCAGACUCCUACGGGAGGGCAGCAGCUAAGAAUCUUCCGCAAUGGGCGAAAGCCUGACGGAGCGAACCGCCGCGUGAACGAAGAAGGCCGUGAGGUUGUAAAGUUCUUUUCGGGAGGGGGAACAACCGUGGCAGGGAAUGGCCGCGGGAUGACGUGAAUCCCGGAAUAAGCCCCGGCUAACUACGUGCCAGCCGCUGC
rnacentral:rRNA from 1 species